rnacentral:lncRNA from 1 species
CAGGGGUCUCCCAUGAAUUAAUCGCAUCCAGGGUCCAUUGAACUGGAAUUCUAAACUGCAAUCCACGCACAGCAGCCAUUUGGACCUCCGAAGAAACUGAGACUCUGCUUCUCUUUUCACUCCCCCUCCCCCCGCUUCAGAUAUCCUCUGAGGAUUGAUGGGUGUGUCAGAGAGCCACUGGUGUUUGUCCCAAGUAAUUGGAUUGACCCUUUGAAGAAAAGGGAUCAUCUGGAUUCAAGAUGUCAGUAGAAGAAGGGGACCUCAUGAAGACCUGAGGAGGAGACAGAGAUGUUGGAAGGGAACUGGAAUACUGUGGCCAGGGAGGCAUCUGGAGAAGGGAGAUUCAAGAAGUGUCUGGUGCUUCAGAGAAGACCCACAAAGCGAGAGAAGGACACUAAGGAGUGAUGCUUCCCUGGGCUUCCUCCCCACCUGCCAGGGGGUCCCAGAGCGCCUUCGUACAGGAGCUGAUGGUGGCCCCAAUUAUUGUCAGUGGACCUGGAUGAGAGGAUGUCUACUGGAUGUCUGUACAGAGUUGCUGCCCAGUGAAAACAAGAAGAGGAAACAGUUCUUGAGUUAUCACGAGAUAUCCUGA